GAUGAACGCUAGCUACAGGCUUAACACAUGCAAGUCGAGGGGUAACGAGAGGAAAGCUUGCUUUCCUUGUCGACGACCGGCGCACGGGUGAGUAACGCGUAUCCAACCUGCCCCCAACUAGGGAAUAACCUUGCGAAAGUAAGGCUAAUACCCUAUAAUUUCCUCAGAUGGCAUCUGACGAGGAAUAAAGAUUUAUCGGUUGUGGAUGGGGAUGCGUCUGAUUAGCUUGUUGGCGGGGUAACGGCCCACCAAGGCAACGAUCAGUAGGGGUUCUGAGAGGAAGGUCCCCCACAUUGGAACUGAGACACGGUCCAAACUCCUACGGGAGGCAGCAGUGAGGAAUAUUGGUCAAUGGGCGGAAGCCUGAACCAGCCAAGUCGCGUGCAGGAUGACGGCCCUAUGGGUUGUAAACUGCUUUUAUACAGGAAUAAAGUUAGCCACGUGUGGUUAUUUGUAGGUACUGUAUGAAUAAGGACCGGCUAAUUCCGUGCCAGCCGCCGCCGUAA
rnacentral:rRNA from 1 species